rnacentral:rRNA from 1 species
GUGCAAGCCGCCGCGGUAAGACAGAGGGUGCAAACGUUGUUCGGAAUUACUGGGCGUAAAGCGCGUGUAGGCGGCUAAGUAAGUCGGGCGUGAAAUCCCACGGCUCAACCGUGGAAGUGCACUCGAAACUGCAUAGCUAGAGUCCUGGAGAGGAAGGUGGAAUGCUUGGUGUAGAGGUGAAAUUCGUAGAUAUCAAGCGGAACACCGGUGGCGAAGGCGGCCUUCUGGACAGUGACUGACGCUGAGACGCGAAAGCGUGGGGAGCAAACAGGAUUAGAUACCCUAGUAGUCC